GCCGAUGUAGCUCAGGGGUAGAGCACUUCACUCGUAAUGAAGGGGUCGUGGGUUCAAAUCCCACCGUCGGCU
rnacentral:tRNA from 1 species